rnacentral:rRNA from 1 species
GAUGAACGCUGGCGGCGUGCCUAAUACAUGCAAGUCGAACGAAACUUCUUUAUCACCGAGUGCUUGCACUCACCGAUAAAGAGUUGAGUGGCGAACGGGUGAGUAACACGUGGGCAACCUGCCCAAAAGAGGGGGAUAAUACUUGGAAACAGGUGCUAAUACAGCAUAACCAUAGUUACCGCAUGGUAACUAUGUAAAAGGUGGCUAUACUACAGCUUUUGGAUGGGCCUGCGGCCCAUUAGCUAGUUGGUAAGGUAAAGGCUUACCAAGGCAAUGAUGCGUAGCCGCAUGGAGAGCGUGACAGGCCACAUUAGGACUGAGACACCGCCCAACGUCCUACGGGAGGCAGCAGUAGGGAGUCUUCCACGAUGGGCCAAAGACUGAUGGAGCAACGCCGCGUGGGUGGAGAAGGCCUUCUGUUCGUAAAACCCUGUGGUUAGCGAAGAAAGUGAGUUAGAGUAACUGUUCACGUUUUGACGGUAUCUAAACAGAAAGCCACGGCUAACUACGUG